ensembl:snRNA U6 U6 spliceosomal RNA
GUGCUCACUUCAGCAGCACAAAUACUAAAAUUGGAACGAUACAGAGAAUAUUAGCAUGGCCCCUGCGCAAGGAUGACAUGCAAAUUUGGAAGUGUUCCAUAUUUUU